rnacentral:rRNA from 1 species
CCUACGGGAGGCUGCAGUGGGGAAUAUUGGACAAUGGGCGAAAGCCUGAUCCAGCCAUGCCGCGUGUGUGAAGAAGGCCUUCGGGUUGUAAAGCACUUUCAGUGGGGAAGAAAGCCUUGGGGCUAAUACCCUCGAGGAAGGACAUCACCCACAGAAGAAGCACCGGCUAACUCCGUGCCAGCAGCCGCGGUAAUACGGAGGGUGUGAGCGUUAAUCGGAAUUACUGGGCGUAAAGCGCGCGUAGGCGGUCUGAUAAGCCGGUUGUGAAAGCCCCGGGCUCAACCUGGGAACGGCAUCCGGAACUGUCAGGCUAGAGUGCAGGAGAGGAAGGUAGAAUUCCCGGUGUAGCGGUGAAAUGCGUAGAGAUCGGGAGGAAUACCAGUGGCGAAGGCGGCCUUCUGGACUGACACUGACGCUGAGGUGCGAAAGCGUGGGUAGCAAACAGGAUUAGAUACCCCAGUAGUC